UAAAAUCCGUAGAUAUCACCAAGAAUACCCAUUGCGAAGGCGAUCUGCUGGAACUCAACUGACGCUAAGGCGCGAAAGCGUGGGGAGCAAACAGGAUUAGAUACCCUGGUAGUCCACGCCCUAAACGAUGUACACUAGUUGUUGGGGUGCUAGUCAUCUCAGUAAUGCAGCUAACGCAUUAAGUGUACCGCCUGGGGAGUACGGUCGCAAGAUUAAAACUCAAAGGAAUAGACGGGGACCCGCACAAGCGGUGGAGCAUGUGGUUUAAUUCGAAGAUACGCGAAGAACCUUACCUGGGCUUGAUAUCCUAAGAACCUUUUAGAGAUAAGAGGGUGCUAGCUUGCUAGAACUUAGAGACAGGUGCUGCACGGCUGUCGUCAGCUCGUGUCGUGAGAUGUUGGGUUAAGUCCCGCAACGAGCGCAACCCACGUAUUUAGUUGCUAACGGUUCGGCCGAGCACUCUAAAUAGACUGCCUUCGUAAGGAGGAGGAAGGUGUGGACGACGUCAAGUCAUCAUGGCCCUUAUGCCCAGGGCGACACACGUGCUACAAUGGCAUAUACAAUGAGACGCAAUACCGCGAGGUGGAGCAAAUCUAUAAAAUAUGUCCCAGUUCGGAUUGUUCUCUGCAACUCGAGAGCAUGAAGCCGGAAUCGCUAGUAAUCGUAGAUCAGCCAUGCUACGGUGAAUACGUUCCCGGGUCUUGUACUCACCGCCCGUCACACCAUGGGAGUUGAUUUCACUCGAAGCCGGAAUACUAAACUAGUUACCGUCCACAGUGGAAUCAGCGACUGGGGUGAAGUCGUAACAAGGUAACCGUAGGAGAACCUGCGGUUGGAUCACCUCCUUUCUA
rnacentral:rRNA from 1 species